rnacentral:rRNA from 1 species
GUUAAAAAGCUCGUAGUUGGACUUCUGCGAAGCUGCCAAUGCCCGCCAUGUUGUGUGCGCAGCGGCGACUUCGCAUCCUUCUGUUAACGCCAUUCGGUCUUCAUUGUUCGGUGGCGGGCUCAGAUACUUUACCUUGAGAAAAUUAGAGUGUUUCAGGCAGGCUAGGCCGGAAUACAUUAGCAUGGAAUAAUGGAAUAGGACUAUAGUCUCUUUGUUGGUUUGAGGGACUGCAGUAAUGAUUAAUAGGGAUAGUUGGGGGCAUUAGUACUUAACUGUCAGAGGUGAAAUUCUCGGAUUUGUUAAAGACUAACUUAUGCGAAAGCAUUUGCCAAGGAUGUUUUCAUUAAUCAAGAACGAAAGUUAGGGGAUCAAAGACGAUCAGAUACCGUCCUAGUCUUAACCAUAAACUAUGCCGACUCGGGAUCGGGGGCGCGAUUAGACGUCCUCGGCACCGUAUGAGAAAUCAAAGUCUUUGGGUUCUGGGGGGAGUAUGGCCGCAAGGCUGAAACUUAAAGGAAUUGACGGAAGGGCACCACCAGGCGUGGAGCUUGCGGCUCAAUUUGACUCAACACGGGGAAACUUACCACGUCCAGACAUAGUGAGGAUUGACAGAUUGAUAGCUCUUUCU